rnacentral:rRNA from 1 species
GCAGCCGCGGUAAUACGGAAGAUGCGAGCGUUAUCCGGAUUUAUUGGGUUUAAAGGGAGCGUAGGCGGGCUGUUAAGUCAGCGGUAAAAUGUCAAGGCCCAACCUUGUCCUGCCGUUGAAACUGGCGGUCUUGAAUGCACACAAGGGAGAUGGAAUUCGUCGUGUAGCGGUGAAAUGCUUAGAUAUGACGAAGAACUCCGAUUGCGAAGGCAGUCUCCUGGGGUGCUAUUGACGCUGAGGCUCGAAAGUGCGGGUAUCAAACAGGAUUAGAUACCCC